CUCAGUUCUUGAAAAAUGCCUUAGAGCCAUUUCACCUUCGAGUGCCUUAUUAUUUACAACAAGAAUUGCAGGACACCCAGGAGGUCAUUCCUUCUCUAGUCCCACAUCUAUUUUCCAUGAAGAUUGAGGAAUAUCAAAGAAAAGAGUGGAUUAAAACCUCAAAGAGCUCUACAGGGCCCUCCCAGAUCACUGCGAUGGACCGCAAAGAAGCUUGGCCUAGAGGAGCCCAAGGUCAAGGGCGGAGGCUGAGAGAACCUAUCCCAUGCCCAAGGAGUGGUGGCUGUGUGGGUGCAAGAGAGCCGAGAGGAGCUACUCUACGUUCAA